UACAGAGGUCUCAAGCGUUGUUCGGAUUCAUUGGGCGUAAAGGGUGCGUAGGUGGCAUGGUAAGUCGGAUGUGAAAUCCCGGGGCUCAACCCCGGAACUGCAUUCGAUACUGCUGCGCUAGAGUACUGGAGAGGAGAUUGGAAUUUACGGUGUAGCAGUGAAAUGCGUAGAUAUCGUAAGGAAGACCAGUGGCGAAGGCGGGGUCUCUGGACAGUUCCUGACGCUGAGGCACGAAGGCCAGGGGAGCAAACGGG
rnacentral:rRNA from 1 species